GAUGAACGCUGGCGGCGUGCCUAAUACAUGCAAGUCGAGCGAACAGACGAGGAGCUUGCUCCUCUGACGUUAGCGGCGGACGGGUGAGUAACACGUGGAUAACCUACCUAUAAGACUGGGAUAACUUCGGGAAACCGGAGCUAAUACCGGAUAAUAUAUUGAACCGCAUGGUUCAAUAGUGAAAGACGGUUUUGCUGUCACUUAUAGAUGGAUCCGCGCCGCAUUAGCUAGUUGGUAAGGUAACGGCUUACCAAGGCAACGAUGCGUAGCCGACCUGAGAGGGUGAUCGGCCACACGGGAGCAGAGACACGGUCCAGACGCAUACGGGAGGGAGCAGUAGGGAAUGUUCGGGAAUGGGCGAAAGCCUGACGAAGCAACGCAGGGGGAGUGAUGAAGUUUUUCGGUUCGUAAAACCCUGUUAUUAGGGAAGAACAAAUGUGUAAGUAACAAUGCACGUCCAGACGGGACCUAAUCAGAAAGCCACGGCUAACUACGU
rnacentral:rRNA from 1 species